rnacentral:rRNA from 1 species
GCUUAACACAUGCAAGUCGAACGGUAAGGCCCUUCGGGGUACACGAGUGGCGAACGGGUGAGUAACACGUGGGUGAUCUGCCCUGCACUUCGGGAUAAGCCCGGGAAACUGGGUCUAAUACCGGAUAGGACUGCGCGGUGCAUGCCGUGUGGUGGAAAGAUUUAUCGGUGCAGGAUGGGCCCGCGGCCUAUCAGCUUGUUGGUGGGGUAAUGGCCUACCAAGGCGACGACGGGUAGCCGGCCUGAGAGGGCGACCGGCCACACUGGGACUGAGACACGGCCCAGACUCCUACGGGAGGCAGCAGUGGGGAAUAUUGCACAAUGGGCGCAAGCCUGAUGCAGCGACGCCGCGUGAGGUAUGACGGCCUUCGGGUUGUAAACCUCUUUCAGCAGG